UACGUAGGGGGCAAGCGUUGUCCGGAAUUAUUGGGCGUAAAGGGCUCGUAGGCGGUUUGUCGCGUCGGGAGUGAAAUCCACUGGCUUAACUGGUGGCUUGCUUUCGAUACGGGCAGACUGGAGGCAUGCAGGGGAGAACGGAAUUCCUGGUGUAGCGGUGAAAUGCGCAGAUAUCAGGAGGAACACCGGUGGCGAAGGCGGGUCUCUGGGCCGAUACUGACGCUGGAGGAGCGAAAGCGUGGGGAGCGAACAGG
rnacentral:rRNA from 1 species